UUCCUUGGAACAGGACGUCACAGAGGGUGAGAAUCCCGUGCGAUGAGAUGCCCAAUUCUAUGUAAAGUGCUUUCGAAGAGUCGAGUUGUUUGGGAAUGCAGCUCUAAGUGGGUGGUAAAUUCCAUCUAAAGCUAAAUAUUGGCGAGAGACCGAUAGCGAACAAGUACAGUGAUGGAAAGAUGAAAAGAACUUUGAAAAGAGAGUGAAAAAGUACGUGAAAUUGUUGAAAGGGAAGGGCUUGAGAUCAGACUUGGUAUUUUGCGAUCCUUUCCUUCUUGGUUGGGUUCCUCGCAGCUUACUGGGCCAGCAUCGGUUUGGAUGGUAGGAUAAUGACUAAGGAAUGUGGCUCUACUUCGGUGGAGUGUUAUAGCCUUGGUUGAUACUGCCUGUCUAGACCGAGGACUGCGUCUUUUGACUAGGAUGUUGGCAUAAUGAUCUUAAGCCACCCGUCUUGAAACACGGACCAAGGAGUCUAACGUCUAUGCGAGUGUUUGGGUGUAAAACCCGUACGCGUAAUGAAAGUGAACGUAGGUGAGAGCUCUUAAGAGUGCAUCAUCGACCGAUCCUGAUGUCUUCGGAUGGAUUUGAGUAAGAGCAUAGCUGUUGGGACCCGAAAGAUGGUGAACUAUGCCUGAAUAGGGUGAAGCCAGAGGAAACUCUGGUGGAGGCUCGUAGCGGUUCUGACGUGCAAAUCGAUCGUCGAAUUUGGGUAUAGGGGCG
rnacentral:rRNA from 1 species